rnacentral:rRNA from 1 species
AUUGCUCUAGUAACGGCGAGUGAAGCAGCAAUAGCUCAAAUUUGAAAUCUGGCGUCUUCGACGUCCGAGUUGUAAUUUGUAGAGGAUGCUUCUGAGUGGCCACCGACCUAAGUUCCUUGGAACAGGACGUCAUAGAGGGUGAGAAUCCCGUAUGCGGUCGGAAAGGCGCUCUAUACGUAGCUCCUUCGACGAGUCGAGUUGUUUGGGAAUGCAGCUCUAAAUGGGAGGUAAAUUUCUUCUAAAGCUAAAUAUUGGCCAGAGACCGAUAGCGCACAAGUAGAGUGAUCGAAAGAUGAAAAGCACUUUGGAAAGAGAGUUAAAAAGCACGUGAAAUUGUUAAAAGGGAAGGGAUUGCAACCAGACUUGCUCGCGGUGUUCCGCCGGUCUUCUGACCGGUCUACUCGCCGCGUUGCAGGCCAGCAUCGUCUGGUGCCGCUGGAUAAGACUUGAGGAAUGUAGCUCCCUCGGGAGUGUUAUAGCCUCUUGUGAUGCAGCGAGCGCCGGGCGAGGUCCGCGCUUCGGCUAGGAUGCUGGCGUAAUGGUCGUAAUCCGCCCGUCUUGAAACACGGACCAAGGAGUCUAACAUCUAUGCGAGUGUUCGGGUGUCAAACCCCUACGCGUAAUGAAAGUGAACGGAGGUGAGAACCGCAAGGUGCAUCAUCGACCGAUCCUGAUGUCUUCGGAUGGAUUUGAGUAAGAGCAUAGCUGUUGGGACCCGAAAGAUGGUGAACUAUGCCUGAAUAGGGUGAAGCCAGAGGAAACUCUGGUGGAGGCUCGCAGCGGUUCUGACGUGCAAAUCGAUCGUCAAAUUUGGGUAUAGGGGCGAAAGACUAAUCGAACCAUCUAGUAGCUGGGUUCUG